rnacentral:rRNA from 1 species
GAUGAACGCUGGCGGCGUGCAUAACACAUUCAAGUCGAACGGAGCUUUGAGAUUAAUCCUUCGGGAAGCGUCUUGGAGCUUAGUGGCGGACGGGUGAGUAACGCGUGAGCAACCUGCCUUUGAUAGGGGGAUAACAGAGGGAAACUUCUGCUAAUACCGCAUGAUGCAUCGAUGUCGCAUGGCAUUGAUGCCAAAGAUACGUCGAUCAAAGAUGGGCUCGCGUCCGAUUAGAUAGUUGGUGAGGUAACGGCUCACCAAGUCUGCGAUCGGUAGCCGGACUGAGAGGUUGAACGGCCACAUUGGGACUGAGACACGGCCCAG